rnacentral:lncRNA from 1 species
AUAUCUCUAAAAAGUCUAUCAUCUCUUCUGCUUCUAUCUUGUUAUAUUUCUACUGAGCAUAUAGAAUUUUUUGAUUAUAAAUAGAUCAGUAGUUUGCAAUCAAUAUUUCAUCAUUUUUAAUAUUCAUUUUCAUUUCUCAAUAGUUUUGGAUGCCAACUGGCAAUGAAGUGGUGGAUGACCAAAAGGAAAGUGAAUUCCAUUUCUCUAAACUGAAGAGAAGGCAAGAUUUGGAAAGAAAAAGAAAAAUUAGAAAAAUAGAAUGGAUGAGACAAAUGUUAUGCAGGAAGCCUGCAGGCUAA